UACGAAGGGUGCAAGCGUUACUCGGAAUUACUGGGCGUAAAGGGUGCGUAGGUGGUCGUUUAAGUCCGUUGUGAAAUCCCUGGGCUCAACCUGGGAAUGGCAGUGGAUACUGGACGGCUAGAAUGCGGUAGAGGGUAGUGGAAUUCCCGGUGUAGCAGUGAAGUGCGUAGAGAUCUGGAGGAACACCAGUGGCGAAGGCGGCUCACUGGCCCGAUACUGACGCUGAGGCACGAAAGCGUGGGGAGCAAACAGG
rnacentral:rRNA from 1 species